rnacentral:lncRNA from 10 species
GGGGACCCACAACAUGUUACCGGUUUUCAUUUUGCUGGGGCUCGCAUUUGAAGCAAGGGCUCUAGUGAGGAGGUGGUGUAGACUCAGCGGGUUAUUUAGGUCCGUGUGAAGCCGAGUUGCCUGCCCAGCACCUAUAGCUCAACUAGGUUUUAUUGUUCUCUACCUGUCAAUAGUUGAUUUAUGAUGGAUUCCAAGAGAAAAGCUAAGGACAGCCUGGGGUACAUCAGACGUGGUCUCAGGGAGGUCUUCGUGGAAGUCAGGAAUACUUGGACCUCAGCCAACCUCUCGAACAGUAUUCACCUAGUUACCCUGACACAAGAAGUUCUUGUUCUUCAGGAGAUGAUUCUGUUUUUUCUCCAGACCCCAUGCCUUACGAACCAUGCCUUCCUCAGUAUCCACACAUAAACGGCAGUGUUAAAACAUGAAUGACUGUGUCUGCCUGUCCCCAAACAGGACAGCACUGGGAACCUAGCUACACUGAGCAGGGAGACCAUGCC